UACGUAGGGGGCAAGCGUUGUCCGGAUUUAUUGGGCGUAAAGAGCGUGUAGGCGGCUUUGCAAGUCCGUUGUGAAAACUCGAGGCUCAACCCUCGAAUGCCGGUGGAUACUGUCGGGCUAGAGUGCGGAAGAGGCGAGUGGAAUUCCUGGUGUAGCGGUGAAAUGCGCAGAUAUCAGGAGGAACACCAAUUGCGAAGGCAGCUCGCUGGGACGUAACUGACGCUGAGACGCGAAAGCGUGGGGAGCAAUCAGG
rnacentral:rRNA from 1 species